rnacentral:rRNA from 1 species
GGACCCGCACAAGUAGUGGAGCAUGUGGUUUAAUUCGAAGAUACGCGCAGAACCUUACCAACACUUGACAUGUUCGUCGCGACUUUAAGAGAUUAAAGUUUUCGGUUCGGCCGGACGAAACACAGGUGCUGCAUGGCUGUCGUCAGCUCGUGUCGUGAGAUGUUGGUUAAGUCCCGCAACGAGCGCAACCCUCACUUUUAGUUGCCAUCAUUAAGUUGGGCACUCUGAAAGAACUGCCAGUGAUAAGCUGGAGGAAGGUGGGGAUGACGUCAAGUCCUCAUGGCCCUUACGUGUUGGGCUACACACGUGCUACAAUGGCUGGUACAGAGGGCUGCGAACCCCGCGAGGGCAAGCGAA